rnacentral:rRNA from 1 species
UACGUAGGGCGCGAGCGUUGUCCGGAAUUAUUGGGCGUAAAGAGCUCGUAGGCGGCCUGUUGCGUCCGCUGUGAAAUCCCGGGGCUCAACCCUGGGCGUGCAGUGGAUACGGGCAGGCUGGAGGCAGGGCAGGGGAGAACGGAAUUCCCGGUGUAGCGGUGAAAUGCGCAGAUAUCGGGAGGAACACCGGUGGCGAAGGCGGUUCUCUGGGCCU